rnacentral:rRNA from 1 species
UACGUAGGGUGCAAGCGUUGUCCGGAAUUAUUGGGCGUAAAGAGCUCGUAGGCGGUCUGUCGCGUCGGCUGUGAAAGUCCGGGGCUCAACUCCGGAUCUGCGGUGGGUACGGGCAGACUAGAGUGAUGUAGGGGAGACUGGAAUUCCUGGUGUAGCGGUGAAAUGCGCAGAUAUCAGGAGGAACACCGAUGGCGAAGGCAGGUCUCUGGGCAUUAACUGACGCUGAGGAGCGAAAGCAUGGGGAGCGAACAGG